CACGUAGGGCGCAAGCGUUGUCCGGAAUUAUUGGGCGUAAAGAGCUCGUAGGCGGUCUGUUGCGUCCGCUGUGAAAACUCGGGGCUUAACCCCGAGCCUGCAGUGGAUACGGGCAGACUAGAGGUAGGUAGGGGAGAAUGGAAUUCCCGGUGUAGCGGUGAAAUGCGCAGAUAUCGGGAGGAACACCGGUGGCGAAGGCGGGUCUCUGGGCCGAAACUGACGCUGAGGAGCGAAAGCGUGGGGAGCGAACAGG
rnacentral:rRNA from 1 species